CUUGAGGAAGUACUUUGUCCACGUGGACAUAAAGCGCUCCCUCAAGGAAGCGUUUUCUGUUCACGUGGACAAAGCGCUUCAUUGAGG
rfam:Gossypium raimondii Chr08_contig_1288, whole genome shotgun sequence.